rnacentral:sRNA from 1 species
UGUUCAAAGCUCAUACA